rnacentral:rRNA from 1 species
AAUCUACCUAGUAGUAUGGGAUAGCCACUAGAAAUGGUGGGUAAUACUGUAUAAUCCCUGCGGGGGAAAGAUUUAUCGCUAUUAGAUGAGCCUAUGUUAGAUUAGCUAGUUGGUAGGGUAAAGGCCUACCAAGGCGAUGAUCUAUAGCUGGUCUGAGAGGAUGAUCAGCCACACUGGAACUGAGAUACGGUCCAGACUCCUACGGGAGGCAGCAGUGGGGAAUAUUGGACAAUGGGCGCAAGCCUGAUCCAGCUAUGCCGCGUGAGUGAGGAAGGCCUUAGGGUUGUAAAACUCUUUCAGUAGGGAAGAUAAUGACGGUACCUACAGAAGAAGUCCCGGCAAACUCCGUGCCAGCAGCCGCGGUAAUACGGAGGGGGCAAGCGUUGUUCGGAAUUAUUGGGCGUAAAGGGCAUGUAGGCGGUUCGGUAAGUUA